GCAUACUCACAGCGUCGAAUGGUGUACGUAAGUUAUCCUGGAGCGGUGAGUAAAGCAAAUGUAGGAAUAAGUAACGAUAAGGAGGGUUAGAUUCCCUCCCGCUGUAAGACCAAGGUUUCCCGGGCAAUGCCAAUCAGCCCGGGGUCAGUCGGGUCCUAAGUCUAAGCCGAACGGCGAUGGCGAUGGCAGAGACGGUUAAUAUUCCGUCACUGCCGCAUGGGGCGACGUGGAGACGGAGCAGUGAAACCACCGCGGGGCGACGGAAGUCCCCGUUGAAGAGUGUAGGCGUUGAGGAUGGCAGGCAAAUCCACCAUCCGAGCUGAACUUGAGAGUACGGAGUCCUCCUCGGAGGAAUCUGAUAGUGUGGGUAAUCAUACUCCCGAGAAAAUCCGCUAAGCUUAACCCAUGCGGCACCCGUACCGCAAACGGACACACGUGGUCGGGUAGAACAUACUAAGGCGUUGAGAGAUUCAUGGUUAAGGAACUAGGCAAAUUGACCCUGUAACUUCGGGAUAAAGGGUCCUCGUGAUGAGCGAGGCGCA
rnacentral:rRNA from 1 species